GACGAACGCUGGCGGCGUGCUUAACACAUGCAAGUCGAACGGAAAGGCCCUGCUUUUGUGGGGUGCUCGAGUGGCGAACGGGUGAGUAACACGUGAGUAACCUGCCCUUGACUUUGGGAUAACUUCAGGAAACUGGGGCUAAUACCGGAUAGGAGCUCCUGCUGCAUGGUGGGGGUUGGAAAGUUUCGGCGGUUGGGGAUGGACUCGCGGCUUAUCCGCUUGUUGGUGGGGUAGUGGCUUACCAAGGCUUUGACGGGUAGCCGGCCUGAGAGGGUGACCGGCCACAUUGGGACUGAGAUACGGCCCAGACUCCUACGGGAGGCAGCAGUGGGGAAUAUUGCACAAUGGGCGGAAGCCUGAUGCAGCAACGCCGCGUGCGGGGUGACGGCCUUCGGGUUGUAAACCGCUUUCGCCUGUGACGAAGCGUGAGUGACGGUAAUGGGUAAAGAAGCACCGGCUAACUACGUG
rnacentral:rRNA from 1 species